GCCGAUGGUAUCGUCCCUUUCAGCCUUGAUAGCAAGCGGGAUACCGACGUGAAACAAAGAAUAACGUCGUGGAACAAGAGCAUUCGAGAAGGUCGGUCGGGCCGCGAGCGGCUUCAAUGCAGGCAGCAAGGAAAGAAACACACCUCCCUCCCUUAUCGGCUUUUUCCAUCUUCGGUUCACCGCGAGCAGAUCGCUGCAAUGUGGUGACUCAGAAGGGGCGGGGCUACGGUCUGUUUCUCCUUCUUGAGGAGUGACUCAUCAGUGACCGCGGAAAGCCUACUCCAAAGGAAAGCGCAUUAUCUCUUGACUAUUUAUAGGCCCCGAAAAGGCUGAAGAAUGACGUCAGGCGAACGGUUCCUAAGGCACAUUUCUUCAACAUGGUGUCCGGUUGGAUCUUGGAUUCCCAUAUCAUCUGCGCAGGAUCCUGGAAUGCCACUUUUGGACCAUGAGAAGCAACUGCUUGAAAUGCAGAAAUGAGUUGGGCUUGCAUAAAACUAAAGAACUUACAUGAUUCUGUACGAUUAUGGCAUUUCCCUCUGGAAGUCUUCAUAAAAACUUCUGUGUCUCUGCCAUUAAAGAAGUGCAACCUUUUGAAGCCAGGAAAGACUCAACUAUUAAUAUGAUACUGCCUGUGUACUUAAUAAUAUUUUCCAUCAUAUUGAUACAUUUUUAUCAACAACUUUUGGAGCAGCGUUCAAGGCAGGGUUCUGAAUGUUUGGAAUAAAAGAAGAUGAGGAGACAAAAUCCUUAUCAGGUUCAUUCAA